rnacentral:rRNA from 1 species
AUUGAACGCUGGCGGCAGGCCUAACACAUGCAAGUCGAACGAGUGGCGGACGGGUGAGUAAUGUCUGGGAAACUGCCUGAUGGAGGGGGAUAACUACUGGAAACGGUAGCUAAUCCCGCAUACCAUCAGAUGUGCCCAGAUGGGAUUUGCUAGUUGGUGGGGUAAAGGCUCACCAAGGCGACGAUCCCUAGCUGGUCUGGGAGGGUGACCAGCCACACGGGAAUUGAGACCCGGCCCAGACUCUUACGGUAGGCAGCAGUGGGGAAUAUUGCAAAAGGGGCGCAAGCUUGAUGCAGCCAUGCCGCGUGUAUGAAGAAGGCCUCCGGGUUGUAAAGUACUUUCAGCGGGGAGGCGUUACCCGCAGAAGAAGCACCGGCUAACUCCGUGCCAGCAGCCGCGGUAAUAC